UUAAGCGACUAAGCGUACACGGUGGAUGCCCUGGCAGUCAGAGGCGAUGAAGGACGUGCUAAUCUGCGAAAAGCGUCGGUAAGGUGAUAUGAACCGUUAUAACCGGCGAUGUCCGAAUGGGGAAACCCAGUGCAAUUCGUUGCACUAUCGUUAACUGAAUACAUAGGUUAACGAGGCGAACCGGGGGAACUGAAACAUCUAAGUACCCCGAGGAAAAGAAAUCAACCGAGAUUCCCCCAGUAGCGGCGAGCGAACGGGGAGCAGCCCAGAGUCUGAAUCAGCUUGUGUGUUAGUGGAACGGUCUGGAAAGUCCGACGGUACAGGGUGAUAGUCCCGUACACCAAAAUGCACAGGUUGUGAACUCGAAGAGUAGGGCGGGACACGUGGUAUCCUGUCUGAAUAUGGGGGGACCAUCCUCCAAGGCUAAAUACUCCUGACUGACCGAUAGUGAACCAGUACCGUGAGGGAAAGGCGAAAAGAACCCCGGCGAGGGGAGUGAAAAAGAACCUGAAACCGUGUACGUACAAGCAGUGGGAGCACCUUCGGGUGUGACUGCGUACCUUUUGUAUAAUGGGUCAGCGACUUAUAUUCUGUAGCAAGGUUAACCGUAUAGGGGAGCCGCAGGGAAACCGAGUCUUAACUGGGCGUUAAGUUGCAGGGUAUAGACCCGAAACCCGGUGAUCUAGCCAUGGGCAGGUUGAAGGUUGGGUAACACUAACUGGAGGACCGAACCGACUAAUGUUGAAAAAUUAGCGGAUGACUUGUGGCUGGGGGUGAAAGGCCAAUCAAACCGGGAGAUAGCUGGUUCUCCCCGAAAGCUAUUUAGGUAGCGCCUCGUGAACUCAUCUUCGGGGGUAGAGCACUGUUUCGGCUAGGGGGUCAUCCCGACUUACCAACCCGAUGCAAACUACGAAUACCGAAGAAUGUUAUCACGGGAGACACACGGCGGGUGCUAACGUCCGUCGUGAAGAGGGAAACAACCCAGACCGCCAGCUAAGGUCCCAAAGUCAUGGUUAAGUGGGAAACGAUGUGGGAAGGCACAGACAGCCAGGAUGUUGGCUUAGAAGCAGCCAUCAUUUAAAGAAAGCGUAAUAGCUCACUGGUCGAGUCGGCCUGCGCGGAAGAUGUAACGGGGCUAAACCAUGCACCGAAGCUGCGGCAGCGACACUAUGUGUUGUUGGGUAGGGGAGCGUUCUGUAAGCCUGCGAAGGUGUGCUGUGAGGCAUGCUGGAGGUAUCAGAAGUGCGAAUGCUGACAUAAGUAACGAUAAAGCGGGUGAAAAGCCCGCUCGCCGGAAGACCAAGGGUUCCUGUCCAACGUUAAUCGGGGCAGGGUGAGUCGACCCCUAAGGCGAGGCCGAAAGGCGUAGUCGAUGGGAAACAGGUUAAUAUUCCUGUACUUGGUGUUACUGCGAAGGGGGGACGGAGAAGGCUAUGUUAGCCGGGCGACGGUUGUCCCGGUUUAAGCAUGUAGGCUGGUUAUCCAGGCAAAUCCGGAUAAUCAAGGCUGAGGUGUGAUGACGAGGCACUACGGUGCUGAAGUAACAAAUGCCCUGCUUCCAGGAAAAGCCUCUAAGCAUCAGGUAACAUCAAAUCGUACCCCAAACCGACACAGGUGGUCAGGUAGAGAAUACCAAGGCGCUUGAGAGAACUCGGGUGAAGGAACUAGGCAAAAUGGUGCCGUAACUUCGGGAGAAGGCACGCUGGUGUGUAGGUGAAGUCCCUGCGGAUGGAGCUGAGACCAGUCGAAGAUACCAGCUGGCUGCAACUGUUUAUUAAAAACACAGCACUGUGCAAACACGAAAGUGGACGUAUACGGUGUGACGCCUGCCCGGUGCCGGAAGGUUAAUUGAUGGGGUUAUCCGUAAGGAGAAGCUCUUGAUCGAAGCCCCGGUAAACGGCGGCCGUAACUAUAACGGUCCUAAGGUAGCGAAAUUCCUUGUCGGGUAAGUUCCGACCUGCACGAAUGGCGUAAUGAUGGCGGCUGUCUCCACCCGAGACUCAGUGAAAUUGAACUCGCUGUGAAGAUGCAGUGUACCCGCGGCAAGACGGAAAGACCCCGUGAACCUUUACUAUAGCUUGACACUGAACAUUGAGCCUUGAUGUGUAGGAUAGGUGGGAGGCUUUGAAGCGUGGACGCCAGUCUGCGUGGAGCCAACCUUGAAAUACCACCCUUUAAUGUUUGAUGUUCUAACGUUGGCCCCUUACCGGGGUUGCGGACAGUGUCUGGUGGGUAGUUUGACUGGGGCGGUCUCCUCCCAAAGCGUAACGGAGGAGCACGAAGGUUAGCUAAUCUGGUCGGACAUCAGGAGGUUAGUGCAAUGGCAUAAGCUAGCUUGACUGCGAGCGUGACGGCGCGAGCAGGUGCGAAAGCAGGUCAUAGUGAUCCGGUGGUUCUGAAUGGAAGGGCCAUCGCUCAACGGAUAAAAGGUACUCCGGGGAUAACAGGCUGAUACCGCCCAAGAGUUCAUAUCGACGGCGGUGUUUGGCACCUCGAUGUCGGCUCAUCACAUCCCGGGCUGAAGUAGGUCCCAAGGGUAUGGCUGUUCGCCAUUUAAAGUGGUACGCGAGCUGGGUUUAGAACGUCGUGAGACAGUUCGGUCCCUAUCUGCCGUGGGCGCUGGAGAAUUGAGGGGGGCUGCUCCUAGUACGAGAGGACCGGAGUGGACGCAUCACUGGUGUUCGGGUUGUCAUGCCAAUGGCACUGCCCGGUAGCUAAAUGCGGAAGAGAUAAGUGCUGAAAGCAUCUAAGCACGAAACUUGCCCCGAGAUGAGUUCUCCCUGAGACUUUAAGUCUCCUGAAGGAACGUUAAAGACGAUGACGUUGAUAGGCCGGGUGUGUAAGCGCAGCGAUGCGUUGAGCUAACCGGUACUAAUGAACCGUGAGGCUUAACCU
rnacentral:rRNA from 1 species